ACAUUUCAGCAACCCUUUUCUAAUUCAGCCGUUUUCAGUCAUCUCAGAAAGCAUUUGAAAAAUCAUGAAACGGUGACAUGCCCAUAUAAGGAUUGUAGCUAUAUCACAAAUGUGUACUCCUCGUUCAAUUCUCAUAAAAGUAGAGAACACCAAGCAGGUCUUGCAUCUGACUUUCAAACUGAUAUUGUCAGUGAGGAUCCCCAUAUUCUUCAAGCCAGUAUUUCUGAGGAAACUAGUGAUUCGCAUGAAGAAUGCCCAGAGCAGAGCAGAGAAGUGGGGAACGGUGAUCAGUGUGACACUGGCAGUCUAAGAAAUCAACUUAAAACAAAUUUACAAAUUUAGCUUCUUUAUUUCUAAAGAUGCAGGCUAUCCUUCAUGUCUCGAACACAGCUAUUCAGGAAAUAGUAGACCACUUGAAUCAGAUCUUCUGAGGUAAUAUGGAUCAUCUCUCUUUAAGUGAAAAUUGUGAUUCUUAUUCAUUUGACCGCUAUUGUCGGCUUAAUAAAUGUGCUAGAUUCUUCAAAUUGAAUGUUUUUUUAUUUGUUGCUGUUAUUUCAAUGUAGUUGUAUGCAGAGUUCCAGAGGAUAACCAAUCAGAACCUGCCCAACCGAUUCUAUGCUGAGCUUGACCGCCAUCUUCCACGACUAAUGACUUUAUUUAGGCAGAAGGCAUCAAGAACUGGAAAGACAGCAGAUGCUCUGGCUGAAAUUUUAAAAAUCCACGAUGAACAGGAAAACCAGGACAUACACACCAAACGUACGACUGUUCUCCACGGCCUCCCUGUCUAUCUGUGCGAGGAUGUAUCUGGAUUCUUCAGAACCUGCACAGACGAGUCUGAUGAGCCAGAGCUUGAUGGGGUUGCAGUGGGCCUCCUUACUGUCACCAGUGACAAUAACACAAGUGCAGUUCACUACCACCCUGUGAAAAUCUCUGUGAUUAUUGAAAGUGAUGUCAUGGUUAGUCUCCCCAGACUUGGCGAUGCCUUCCUGGUAGUCUUUGGAUUCAUGUAUGCACUACACCUCAGCUACCCCAAAGCACUUACCAAGACUUUUGAGUUCAUUCAAAAGAUCUUACUUGGCCUAGAAAGUGGCAAACUGUCACCGAAGUUGCAGACCCUCAAGAAUGUUUUGAUGACCUAGAAACGGAAGGCUGCAGCGGUAUACCAUUAUAAAAGGUUCAACAUGUUCAAGUUAAAAGGUCUAUGAUCACGUCUUGCAGCUUUGCAAUGCAGCGCCAUCAUGUGAUCUGUUCAUGUAUGUUAUUGUGUUGUGUAUUAUGGAGGAAAAAAAGGCAGAGGUCAUGGUUCUCGGGUUGUUAUCUUUGUGCAGAUAAAAAAAAAUUAAAUUCUUUUAUGCCUCAUG